rnacentral:snRNA from 1 species
GUGCUUGCUUCAGCAGCACAUACACUAAAAUUAAAAUUAUACAGAGAGGAUUAGCAUGGCUCCUGCCCAAGGAUGACACACAGAUUCAUGAAGUGUUCCAUAAUUUU